AACGAACGCUGGCGGCAGGCCUAACACAUGCAAGUCGAGCGCCCCGCAAGGGGAGCGGCGGACGGGUUAGUAACGCGUGGGAAUGUACCCUUUUCUACGGAAUAGCCUCGGGAAACUGAGAUUAAUACCGUAUACGCCCCCUCAAUCAAAUUUCAUUUGAUUGAAUUUUCAGUCAUAUGAAAUUCCGAAUGGAAUUUGAUGGGGGGGGAAAGAUUUAUCGGAGAAGGAUCAGCCCGCGUAAGAUUAGAUAGUUGGUGGGGUAAUGGCCUACCAAGUCUACGAUCUUUAGCUGGUUUGAGAGGAUGAUCAGCAACACUGGGACUGAGACACGGCCCAGACUCCUACGGGAGGCAGCAGUGGGGAAUCUUAGACAAUGGGCGCAAGCCUGAUCUAGCCAUGCCGCGUGAGUGAAGAAGGCCUUAGGGUCGUAAAGCUCUUUCAGUGGGGAAGAUAAUGACG
rnacentral:rRNA from 1 species